rnacentral:rRNA from 1 species
GACGAACGCUGGCGGCGUGCUUAACACAUGCAAGUCGAACGGAGAGGCCCUGCUUUUGUGGGGUGCUCGAGUGGCGAACGGGUGAGUAACACGUGAGUAACCUGCCCUUGACUUUGGGAUAACUUCAGGAAACUGGGGCUAAUACCGGAUAGGAGCUCCUGCUGCAUGGUGGGAGUUGGAAAGUUUCGGCGGUUGGGGAUGGACUCGCGGCUUAUCAGCUUGUUGGUGGGGUAGUGGCUUACCAAGGCUUUGACGGGUAGCCGGCCUGAGAGGGUGACCGGCCACAUUGGGACUGAGAUACGGCCCAGACUCCUACGGGAGGCAGCAGUGGGGAAUAUUGCACAAUGGGCGGAAGCCUGAUGCAGCAACGCCGCGUGCGGGAUGACGGCCUUCGGGUUGUAAACCGCUUUCGCCUGUGACGAAGCGUGAGUGACGGUAAUGGGUAAAGAAGCACCGGCUAACUACGUGCCAGCAGCCGCGGUGAUACGUAGGGUGCGAGCGUUGUCCGGAUUUAUUGGGCGUAAAGGGCUCGUAGGUGGUUGAUCGCGUCGGAAGUGUAAUCUUGGGGCUUAACCCUGAGCGUGCUUUCGAUACGGGUUGACUUGAGGAAGGUAGGGGAGAAUGGAAUUCCUGGUGGAGCGGUGGAAUGCGCAGAUAUCAGGAGGAACACCAGUGGCGAAGGCGGUUCUCUGGGCCUUUCCUGACGCUGAGGAGCGAAAGCGUGGGGAGCGAACAGGCUUAGAUACCCUGGUAGUCCACGCUGUAAACGGUGGGUACUAGGUGUGGGGUCCAUUCCACGGGUUCCGUGCCGUAGCUAACGCUUUAAGUACCCCGCCUGGGGAGUACGGCCGCAAGGCUAAAACUCAAAGGAAUUGACGGGGCCCCGCACAAGCGGCGGAGCAUGCGGAUUAAUUCGAUGCAACGCGUAGAACCUUACCUGGGUUUGACAUGGAUCGGGAGUGCUCAGAGAUGGGUGUGCCUCUUUUGGGGUCGGUUCACAGGUGGUGCAUGGCUGUCGUCAGCUCGUGUCGUGAGAUGUUGGGUUAAGUCCCGCAACGAGCGCAACCCUUGUUCACUGUUGCCAGCACGUUAUGGUGGGGACUCAGUGGAGACCGCCGGGGUCAACUCGGAGGAAGGUGGGGAUGACGUCAAGUCAUCAUGCCCCUUAUGUCCAGGGCUUCACGCAUGCUACAAUGGCUGGUACAGAGAGUGGCGAGCCUGUGAGGGUGAGCGAAUCUCGGAAAGUCGGUCUCAGUUCGGAUUGGGGUCUGCAACUCGACCUCAUGAAGUCGGAGUCGCUAGUAAUCGCAGAUCAGCAACGCUGCGGUGAAUACGUUCCCGGGGCU